rnacentral:snRNA from 1 species
GUACUUACUGGUAGGGAAGGUACCAUGAUCACAAAGGUGGUUUUCCCAGGCCAAGGCUUAUCCAUCACUCUCUGGGUGUGCUGAUCCCUGUGAUUUCCCCAAAUUAAAAGAAAAAAAAAAAAAAGAGGAUCUAUAGAGGGCUUUUA